GUACUCGCUUUGACAGCACAUAUGCUAAAAUUGGAACAAUGCAGAGAAGAUUAGCAUGGCCCCUGUGCAAGGAUAACAUGCAAAUUCAUGAAGCAUUCCAUAUAUUU